GCCGGCGUAGCUCAAUUGGUAGAGCAGCUGAAUCGUAAUCAGCAGGUUGUGGGUUCGAGUCCUAUCGCCGGCUCCA
rnacentral:tRNA from 1 species